UACGGAGGGUGCAAGCAUUGAUCGGAAUUACUGGGCGUAAAGGGUGCGUAGGAGGUUUGUUAAGUCAGAUGUGAAAUACCGCGGCUCAACUGCGGUGCUGCAUUUGAAACUGACAGACUGGAGCAUAGUUAGGGAAAACGGAAUUCCACGUGUAGCGGUGAAAUGCGUAGAUAUGUGGAAGAACACCAGUGGUGAAGACGGUUUUCUGGGCUAUAGCUGACUCUGAGGCACGAAAGCUAGGGGAGCAAACAGG
rnacentral:rRNA from 1 species